rnacentral:rRNA from 1 species
AUACGACUCUCGGCAACGGAUAUCUCGGCUCUCGCAUCGAUGAAGAACGUAGCGAAAUGCGAUACUUGGUGUGAAUUGCAGAAUCCCGUGAACCAUCGAGUCUUUGAACGCAAGUUGCGCCCAAGGCCUUUCGGCCGAGGGCACAUCUGCUUGGGCGUUAAACAAC